rnacentral:rRNA from 1 species
GACGAACGCUGGCGGCGUGCUUAACACAUGCAAGUCGAACGGAAAGGCCCUGCUUGCAGGGUACUCGAGUGGCGAACGGGUGAGUAACACGUGGGUGAUCUGCCCUGCACUUCGGGAUAAGCCUGGGAAACUGGGUCUAAUACCGGAUAGGAGCCAUUUUGAGUGUGAUGGUUGGAAAGUUUUUUCGGUGUAGGAUGAGCUCGCGGCCUAUCAGCUUGUUGGUGGGGUAAUGGCCUACCAAGGCGGCGACGGGUAGCCGGCCUGAGAGGGUGGACGGCCACAUUGGGACUGAGAUACGGCCCAGACUCCUACGGGGGGCAGAAGUGGGGAAUAUUGCACAAUGGGCGCAAGCCUGAUGCAGCGACGCCGCGUGGGGGAUGACGGCCUUCGGGUUGUAGACUCCUUUCGCUAGGGACGAAGCUUUUUGUGACGGUACCUAGAUAAGAAGCACCGGCUAACUACGUG